rnacentral:rRNA from 1 species
UACGUAGGGUGCAAGCGUUGUCCGGAAUUAUUGGGCGUAAAGAGCUCGUAGGCGGUCUGUUGCGUCGGCUGUGAACCGGCUCAACCGGCCUGCAGCCGAUACGGCAGACUAGAGUCGCAGGAGACUGAUCUGUGUAGCGUGAAUGCGCAGAUAUCAGAGACACAGUGCGAGCGCUUUUUCUGACGUAAAAACUGACGCUGAGACGCGAA